UGGGGAAUAUUGCACAAUGGGCGAAAGCCUGAUGCAGCGACGCCGCGUAAGGGAUGACGGCCUUCGGGUUGUAAACCUCUUUCAGCAGGGACGAAGCGCAAGUGACGGUACCUGCAGAAGAAGCACCGGCUAACUGCGUGCCAGCAGCCGCGGUAAUACGUAGGGUGCAAGCGUUGUCCGGAAUUACUGGGCGUAAAGAGUUCGUAGGCGGUUUGUCGCGUCGUUUGUGAAAACCAGCAGCUCAACUGCUGGCUUGCAGGCGAUACGGGCAGACUUGAGUACUGCAGGGGAGACUGGAAUUCCUGGUGUAGCGGUGAAAUGCGCAGAUAUCAGGAGGAACACCGGUGGCGAAGGCGGGUCUCUGGGCAGUAACUGACGCUGAGGAACGAAAGCGUGGGUAGCGAACAGG
rnacentral:rRNA from 1 species